rnacentral:rRNA from 2 species
UAGGAAUCUGCCUGGUAGUGGGGGAUAACGUCCGGAAACGGGCGCUAAUACCGCAUACGUCCUACGGGAGAAAGCAGGGGACCUUCGGGCCUUGCGCUAUCAGAUGAGCCUAGGUCGGAUUAGCUAGUUGGUGAGGUAAUGGCUCACCAAGGCGACGAUCCGUAACUGGUCUGAGAGGAUGAUCAGUCACACUGGAACUGAGACACGGUCCAGACUCCUACGGGAGGCAGCAGUGGGGAAUAUUGGACAAUGGGCGAAAGCCUGAUCCAGCCAUGCCGCGUGUGUGAAGAAGGUCUUCGGAUUGUAAAGCACUUUAAGUUGGGAGGAAGGGCAUUAACCUAAUACGUUAGUGUUUUGACGUUACCGACAGAAUAAGCACCGGCUAACUUCGUGCCAGCAGCCGCGGUAAUACGAAGGGUGCAAGCGUUAAUCGGAAUUACUGGGCGUAAAGCGCGCGUAGGUGGUUCGUUAAGUUGGAUGUGAAAGCCCCGGGCUCAACCUGGGAACUGCAUCCAAAACUGGCGAGCUAGAGUACGGUAGAGGGUGGUGGAAUUUCCUGUGUAGCGGUGAAAUGCGUAGAUAUAGGAAGGAACACCAGUGGCGAAGGCGACCACCUGGACUGAUACUGACACUGUGGUGCGAAAGCGUGGGGAGCAAACAGGAUUAGAUACCCUGGUAGUCCACGCCGUAAACGAUGUCAACUAGCCGUUGGGUUCCUUGAGAACUUAGUGGCGCAGCUAACGCAUUAAGUUGACCGCCUGGGGAGUACGGCCGCAAGGUUAAAACUCAAAUGAAUUGACGGGGGCCCGCACAAGCGGUGGGAGCAUGUGGUUUAAUUCG